CCUUCUAAAAUCCUCUACCUAAAAACCCUAAUAAUCCUUUAAGCAGUUCGUCUUCCUCUACCUCUUCUUUCUCUCUCUCUCUCUCUCUCUCUCUCUCUCUCUCUCUCUCCCAUUUGGAAUUAGAUUCUUGAAAGAUCGAAACCCUAAUCGUAGCCCUAACUACGACAUGUCUUACCAACCGAGAUCUUCAAAUCACAACGAAAGUGACGACCACCACGACAACCAUCGGCUAUACAACCCUUACCAAGAUCUUAGAGUCCCCGCACAAACCCUGUACAAACUUCCCACAUCUCCUGAAUACCUCUUUCAAGAGGAACCCAUCACUCAACAACGUUCAUGGAGCGAAAACCUGACAUACUACACACACCGACAUCGGUUACCUCAGUGGCGCAGUAGUUGGCACUGGGAAGGUUUUAGUAGAGGGUGUGAAGGCUUCUGAGGCUAGAGACACCAUGAAACUUAGGGUUAAUCAGAAUGAAAUGUGUGGUGGCUGGAUUAGCGACUGGAGCGUGGUGGAUGGAUUAACGACUGGGGUGCUUUACAAGGCGGUGAAGGGCCCUAGGUCGGCGGCUGUUGUUUUGGAUUUAGGCGAGCUCAUCCACUCUACCCGUUUCUUCUAUUGCUCAAUCGAGAUGAAUAUCAUAUACGGUGAGUAAAAUAUGAAUUUCAACCCAUUUUUGUACAUUUUGCCAAAAAAAUUCAACCACCUACAGAUUCAAUUUUGUUCCAAUAUACUUCAACUUUGGCAGAUGAGUUUCUCUUGCUAACUACCUAUUAUAAUACGAUAUGAUCGGAGAUGAAUACUUCUGACUAAUUGUUUUGGCAUAUUUAGUUAUUACGGGUGGUUUUUCGUUGGUUAAAGGGGGUAUGUCAGGGUUCAAAUUAGGGUCCAUGAAUUAUAGAUUUAUGAAAUUGUGAUGAUGAGAAGAUGUCGAGCAGUGAAGAUUCAGAAGAUUUUUCAUAUGGUGGCUGUAGAUUUCAAAGGGUGAAGCAGAGGCUAAAAGAUCGAUCGACGGUUAGUACUUCUAAUGGAGAUUCGAAGGCGAUGUGUGGAAGAAUUACUUGGCCAUAUCCGAUCCAUCACAGUUCCUGGACUGUACAACACCUGUUGUACCCUCUCAAUUCCUCUCCAAGAGUUAGGCUUCAAAGCUUAAUCGGCUAUGGCAUCCAUGGGAGAGAGAAAAAGUCAAAUUAUUCACGUUGGGUGAUCUUUGGAUUAGUUUUGAUGAAUGGAGUGCUUAUGGCGCUGGAGUUCCGGUCAAAGUCGACUCCGGAGAAGAUGAAACAAUCAUACAAUAUUACAUGUCGUACUUAUCUGCUAUUCAAAUAUUUACAAGCAAUUCAGCCUUGAACUAUCUAAGGCCUUUAGUGAAUAUCACUACUGAAGCCUUAUGGGGAUGUUGGUCAAGGAAUUUGAGUUUCCUUCUUGUAUUCCUUUAUGAGUGUGAGGUACUAUGCUUUACAGAUUCUUAAUUUAGAUUACAUGUAUACUUAUCUCACAAUUACUAUUCAUCAGGGAACAAUGAAUCAGCAUUGUUGCAGCAAAAGAAAAAAAAAACUAAUUUGAUUUUCCAUGAUGUUUUAGAAGAUAAGGUUAAAUAGAUUAUUACAAUCUUUAAUGAAAAAAGUCCAUGCAUCUGACUUUUUCAAACACUACCACUUAUUUGGAUAACAUUCUUGAAUCAUAGAUUCUCAAUGCAAGAAUAUUCAACAUAAAUAGUUCCAAGUUCCAACUAAACAUCAUACAGUUAUAAAGAAAACUCCUAUUUAGCUUAGAGAACAUAUUACUUUUUAGUUUUUAGUCAUUUCAUCUUUAAAUUAUUUUCCAUUUUUUUCUGAUACCUAUGUGCAAUUGCAGCAUCUUAUCCCAAUGUAUGUGAUCAAAAACUCUUAACCAUCAUAAAAAGGCACACGAACUUGGGUGGCAACAUUGCAUGCAAAACAAUUGGUAUUAAGGGCUCAUAAAGAGGUUUUGAACUCAUUAGUUGGAAAUAUUUACAGAUUUACCCUUAGGUUCAUUUUCAGACAACCGAGGCACUUUCAUAUGUGUCAGCACUUGAAUUGCCUUUGAGGUUGUACUUACAGUGUGCAGAGGUUGUUAACGACUUUGAUUUGGAACCAGUUGUAUAUGAGUUUUUCACCCUAGCACUUUUCUUAUAUGAGGAAGAAAUUGCAGUAAUUGCUCAAUCUCUUUACAUGCAUAAACAAAGUUAUUUGAAUAGAGUUUUUUUAUUCACAAAAUUAAAGGAUGAUAUAUUUUCAUUUGUCAUAAUUAAUUUUUAUUGAUCUCUUCUAUUUGUUUCACAAAAUAUUAGCUAAGAGAUGACCAUCAUUUGAAACAUGGAGGGAAGAUGGAGUUGGGAAUGUUUCUUAAGAGUUGCUUAAGCUAAAGUAUUGUAAAGUUUGUUGUUAUUUCCUGUUUUUUAAUAAAAGACUAUGAAAUACCCUCCAACCCCCACAACUCCAACCCGCAACGCGAGAUUCUUCCCUAGUUUUAUCUAAAUUCUUUGAAUUAUAAGAAUAAAUAGUAAUUAAAAAAUUAUAAUAUGUUGUCACAGGCUGCAAGAGAUGCUGGAGCUCUUAGAGAAGCUAAAGACAAACCGGAGAAGCGAGUUGAAGAGUUGACAUGGAGAUUAGACUUUGAAAAGCAUUUGAGGGUAUAUUUUUUAUAUUUCUUGUAUCUAAUUAGUUUGUAAAUUUUUGUUACAAUUUCUAUUGAUCUGUUUUAUCUUUCCAUGUAACGAUUAUUUGUAUGACAUUAAAUUUUAUGUAAUGGGUUGUAUUUUUUGUA